rnacentral:rRNA from 1 species
GAUGAACGCUGGCGGCGUGCCUAAUACAUGCAAGUCGAGCGAACAGAUGAGGAGCUUGCUCCUCUGACGUUAGCGGCGGACGGGUGAGUAACACGUGGAUAACCUACCUAUAAGACUGGGAUAACUUCGGGAAACCGGAGCUAAUACCGGAUAAUAUAUUGAACCGCAUGGUUCAAUAGUGAAAGACGGUUUUGCUGUCACUUAUAGAUGGAUCCGCGCCGCAUUAUCUAGUUGGUAAGGUAACGGCUUACCAAGGCAACGAUGCGUAGCCGACCUGAGAGGGUGAUCGGCCACACUGGAACUGGGACACGGUCCAGACUCCUACGGGAGGCAGCAGUAGGGAAUCUUCCGCAAUGGGCGAAAGCCUGACGGAGUAACGCCGCGUGAGUGAUGAAGGUCUUCGGAUCGUAACACUCUGUUAUUAGGGAAGAACAAAUGUGUAAGUAACUAUGCACGUCUUGACGGUACCUAAUCAGAAAGCCACGGCUAACUACGUG